rnacentral:tRNA from 1 species
GCCUGGGUGGCUCAGUUGGUUGAGCAUCUGACUUCGGCUUGGGUCAUGAUCUCGUGUCUGUGGGUUCAAGCCCCGCGUCGGGCU